rnacentral:misc_RNA from 1 species
AAGUCGUAACAAGGUUUCCGUAGGUGAACAAUUUUAUCGCAGCUCUUGCAGACGGUCGCGGCUUCCCCUUCAAUCCGAAUAUCUUGGUUCUC